GAGAUUGAAGGGCAAGACA
rnacentral:tRNA from 2 species